CUCGCAAUAUUAAUGUUGCGUUUGGAGAGGGGACUGCUAAUGAACGCACUGUAUGAAUUUUGUUAAAACUUGUAG